GUCGCAAAGAGUUGGACAUGACUGAGCAACUGAACUGAACUGAACUGAAAAGGCAGUAAAAAAAAAAAAAUAUAUAUAUAUAUCUCUCUCUCUCUCUCUCUCUCUCUCUCUCCUAACAGUAGAGCAGCUCCUGGCACAGAGUGAGGACUCAGUAAAUGCAAUUAUUAUUUCGCUUUAUGUAUCUACAAAGCAGACCCCACUAGGAGCCCGACAUUCGUCACCUGCUUCAGUCUUCACAAGGGCUCCCUAAGGAAGGUAGAAGAAUGCUUUCCAUCACAGAGGAGAAGAGAGGCACAGAGAGGGUCGGAGGCUUCCCCAAUGUCACACAGCGGGUGCUGGUGGAGCUGGAUGUUUGGAACUGGGCGAAAGGGGUAGGCGGGCGGUCAGAGCCUGACAUCAUCACCGCCGGAUCUAGAGACCUCAUUUUGCUGGGAAGCCUGUGUGAGAGUCAGGCCUGCUCACUCUGCGCCUCAGCUGUGGACCCCUUCCAGGCCCAAGUUUCAGCCUCGCAGACCGAGUCAGGUGUCGAAAUCCCUCCUCUGAGUCCGCAGGUGGGGAGGCAGGCAGGCAGGCCCCUAGGUUCCCAGGCCCCAGCCUUGGAGAUAGCUCUUGGAGACCCCAACUCACCAUCUCCUACUCAGCUGUUAAUGCCUCCCAGACUGAUCCUGUGCUUCUGCUGGGGACCUGGGCCUGCCUGCCGUGAGUCCCGUAAUAGAAAAAUGGUCACCAGUGACUGGCCUGAAGGGUCUCCACAAGUCAGCUUGGCCACAGAGUUCUAAAGUGAUUUCCGUCAACCAAUAAACUGGAGAUGCUGGAUGAAAUAAAGCUCUCA
rnacentral:lncRNA from 1 species